CGCGUAGGUGGUAGUGUAAGUCUGGGGUGGAAUCCCAGGGCUUAACCCUGGAACUGCCUUGGAAACUGCAUUACUUGAGUCAGUGAGGGGAGGGUAGAAUUCCUGGUGUAGCGGUGAAAUGCGUAGAUAUCAGGAGGAAGGCCUGUGGCGAAGGCGGCCCUCUGGCGCUGAACUGACACUGAGGCGCGAAAGCGUGGGGAGCAAACAGGAUUAGAUACCCUGGUAGUCCACGCCCUAAACGGUGGGCACUAGGUGUAGGGCUCGUAAGGGUUCUGUGCCGAAGGGAACCAUUAAGUGCCCCGCCUGGGGAGUACGGCCGCAAGGUUGAA
rnacentral:rRNA from 1 species